rnacentral:rRNA from 1 species
GUGGGGAAUAUUGGACAAUGGGCGAAAGCCUGAUCCAGCCAUGCCGCGUGUGUGAAGAAGGUCUUCGGAUUGUAAAGCACUUUAAGUUGGGAGGAAGGGCAGUAAGUUAAUACCUUGCUGUUUUGACGUUACCGACAGAAUAAGCACCGGCUAACUUCGUGCCAGCAGCCGCGGUAAUACGAAGGGUGCAAGCGUUAAUCGGAAUUACUGGGCGUAAAGCGCGCGUAGGUGGUUUUGUAAGUUGGAGGUGAAAUCCCCGGGCUCAACCUGGGAACUGACUCCAAAACUGCAUGACUAGAGUACGGUAGAGGGUAGUGGAAUUUCCUGUGUAGCGGUGAAAUGCGUAGAUAUAGGAAGGAACACCAGUGGCGAAGGCGACUACCUGGACUGAUACUGACACUGAGGUGCGAAAGCGUGGGGAGCAAACAGGAUUAGAAACCGGGUAGUCC